rnacentral:tRNA from 1 species
CAAGAAGUAGUUUAGUUGAGAAUGCUGGCUUUGGGAGUCAGCGGUGGAGGUUAAAAUCCUUCCUUUUUGA